GACGAACGCUGGCGGCGUGCUUAACACAUGCAAGUCGAACGGAAAGGCCCUGCUUUUGUGGGGUGCUCGAGUGGCGAACGGGUGAGUAACACGUGAGUAACCUGCCCUUGACUUUGGGAUAACUUCAGGAAACUGGGGCUAAUACCGGAUAGGAGCUCCUGCUGCAUGGUGGGGGUUGGAAAGUUUCGGCGGUUGGGGAUGGACUCGCGGCUUAUCAGCUUGUUGGUGGGGUAGUGGCUUACCAAGGCUUUGACGGGUAGCCGGCCUGAGAGGGUGACCGGCCACAUUGGGACUGAGAUACGGCCCAGACUCCUACGGGAGGCAGCAGUGGGGAAUAUUGCACAAUGGGCGGAAGCCUGAUGCAGCAACGCCGCGUGCGGGAUGACGGCCUUCGGGUUGUAAACCGCUUUCGCCUGUGACGAAGCGUGAGUGACGGUAAUGGGUAAAGAAGCACCGGCUAACUACGUGCCAGCAGCCGCGGUGAUACGUAGGGUGCGAGCGUUGUCCGGAUUUAUUGGGCGUAAAGGGCUCAUAGGUGGUUGAUCGCGUCGGAAGUGUAAUCUUGGGGCUUAACCCUGAGCGUGCUUUCGAUACGGGUUGACUUGAGGAAGGUAGGGGAGAAUGGAAUUCCUGGUGGAGCGGUGGAAUGCGCAGAUAUCAGGAGGAACACCAGUGGCGAAGGCGGUUCUCUGGGCCUUUCCUGACGCUGAGGAGCGAAAGCGUGGGGAGCGAACAGGCUUAGAUACCCUGGUAGUCCACGCUGUAAACGGUGGGUACUAGGUGUGGGGUCCAUUCCACGGGUACCGUGCCGUAGCUAACGCUUUAAGUACCCCGCCUGGGGAGUACGGCCGCAAGGCUAAAACUCAAAGGAAUUGACGGGGCCCCGCACAAGCGGCGGAGCAUGCGGAUUAAUUCGAUGCAACGCGUAGAACCUUACCUGGGUUUGACAUGGAUCGGGAGUGCUCAGAGAUGGGUGUGCCUCUUUUGGGGUCGGUUCACAGGUGGUGCAUGGCUGUCGUCAGCUCGUGUCGUGAGAUGUUGGGUUAAGUCCCGCAACGAGCGCAACCCUUGUUCACUGUUGCCAGCACGUUAUGGUGGGGACUCAGUGGAGACCGCCGGGGUCAACUCGGAGGAAGGUGGGGAUGACGUCAAGUCAUCAUGCCCCUUAUGUCCAGGGCUUCACGCAUGCUACAAUGGCUGGUACAGAGAGUGGCGAGCCUGUGAGGGUGAGCGAAUCUCGGAAAGCCGGUCUCAGUUCGGAUUGGGGUCUGCAACUCGACCUCAUGAAGUCGGAGUCGCUAGUAAUCGCAGAUCAGCAACGCUGCGGUGAAUACGUUCCCGGG
rnacentral:rRNA from 1 species